GCUUAAUGAUGAUUCCUUUCAACCUGAGCAAAUUGUAGUUGGUCCUUCAUUUGCGCAGUUGAUGUUUCAAGACGGGACUGAAAGCAGC